rnacentral:rRNA from 1 species
CACGUAGGGUGCGAGCGUUGUCCGGAAUUAUUGGGCGUAAAGAGCUCGUAGGCGGUGUGUCGCGUCGGCCGUGAAAACCUGCAGCUUAACUGUGGGCUUGCGGUCGAUACGGGCAUCACUGGAGUUCGGCAGGGGAGACUGGAAUUCCUGGUGUAGCGGUGAAAUGCGCAGAUAUCGGGAAGAACACCCGUGGCGAAGGCGGCUCUCUGGGACGGUACUGACGCUGAGACGCGAAAGCGUGGGGAGCGAACAGG